rnacentral:tRNA from 1 species
GUUUUUAUAGUUUAAAAAAAACUUUGGUCUUGUAAACCAAUAAUAAGACCCGUCUUUAAAAACU